AAUAGGUCCUCGUUAAAGGAUUUAAAGUGUACUCAUUCCAAUCACGGGGCCUCGGAAGAGUCCCGUAUCGUUAUUUUUCGUCACUACCUCCCCGUGCCGGGAGUGGGUAAUUUGCGCGCCUGCUGCCUUCCUUGGAUGUGGUAGCCGUUUCUCAGGCUCCCUCUCCGGAAUCGAACCCUGAUUCCCCGUUACCCGUUGCAACCAUGGUAGGCGCAUAACCUACCAUCGACAGUUGAUAAGGCAGACAUUUGAAAGAUGCGUCGCCGGUUCGAGACCGUGCGAUCAGCUCAAAGUUAUUCAGAGUCACCAAAUGGACGGGCCGAAACCCGAUUGGUUUUGAUCUAAUAAAAGCACCCCUCCCGUGAGGUCGGGGCUUGUUUGCAUGUAUUAGCUCUAGAAUUACCACAGUUAUCCAAGUAGGAUGGUACGAUCUAAGGAACCAUAACUGAUUUAAUGAGCCAUUCGCGGUUUCGCCGCAUAGCGGCUUGUACUUAGACAUGCAUGGCUUAAUCUUUGAGACAAGCAUAUGCUA
rnacentral:rRNA from 1 species